CAAAGAUUAAGCCAUGCAUGUCUAAGUAUAAACAAAUUUAUACGGUGAAACUGCGAAUGGCUCAUUAAAUCAGUUAUAAUUUAUUUGAUAUUCACUUACUACUUGGAUAACCGUGGUAAUUCUAGAGCUAAUACAUGCGUACAUAACCUCGACUUCUGGAAGAGGUGCACUUAUUAGAUAAAAAGCCAACGCGGGCAACCGCUUGUAUGGUGAUUCAUAAUAAUUAAUCGAAUCGCAUGGCCUUGUGCCGGCGAUGAUGCAUUCAAAUUUCUGCCCUAUCAAGUUUCGAUGGUAGGUUAGUGGCCUACCAUGCUUUUAACGGGUAACGGGGAAUUAGGGUUCGAUUCCGGAGAGGGAGCCUGAGAAACGGCUACCACAUCCAAGGAAGGCAGCAGGCGCGCAAAUUACCCAAUCCCGACACGGGGAGGUAGUGACAAUAAAUAACAAUACAGGGCCUUUACGGGUCUUGUAAUUGGAAUGAGUACAAUUUAAAUCCCUUAACGAGGAACAAUUGGAGGGCAAGUCUGGUGCCAGCAGCCGCGGUAAUUCCAGCUCCAAUAGCGUAUAUUAAAGUUGUUGCAGUUAAAAAGCUCGUAGUUGAAUUUUGGCCUUGGUUUGUGAGGUUCGGCCUUCACUGGUCGGUACCUUUACGAACCGGGCUCCACCUUCUGGGUUAGCCAGUUGUUACUUCGGUGCAGCUGGUGAACCAGAACUUUUACUUUGAAAAAAUUGGAGUGUUUAAAGCAGGCUUUCAAGCUUGAACAUAUUAGCAUGGAAUAAUGAAAUAGGACUUUGGCCUUAUUUCGUUGGUUUCUAAAGCCAAAGUAAUGAUGAAUAGGGAUAGUUGGGGACAUUAGUAUUCAAUUGUCAGAGGUGAAAUUCUUGGAUUUAUUGAAGACUAACUUCUGCGAAAGCAUUUGUCAAGGAUGUUUUCAUUAAUCAAGAACGAAAGUUAGGGGAUCGAAGACGAUCAGAUACCGUCGUAGUCUUAACCAUAAACUAUGCCGACUAAGGAUCGGAUGGUGUUAUAUUUUAUAUUGACCCAUUCGGCAUUUCAGCGAAAGCCAAGUUUUUGGGUUCCGGGGGGAGUAUGGUCGCAAGGCUGAAACUUAAAGG
rnacentral:rRNA from 3 species